rnacentral:rRNA from 1 species
UCCUACGGGAGGCAGCAGUCGGGAAUUUUGCACAAUGGGCGAAAGCCUGAUGCAGCAACGCCGCGUGAGGGAUGAAGGCCUUCGGGUUGUAAACCUCUUUUCUCAGGGACGAUAAUGACGGUACCUGAGGAAUAAGCCACGGCUAACUACGUGCCAGCAGCCGCGGUAAUACGUAGGUGGCAAGCGUUGUCCGGAUUUACUGGGCGUAAAGAGCGCGCAGGCGGUCGUUCAAGUCGAAUGUGAAAGCCCCCGGCUUAACUGGGGAGGGUCAUUCGAUACUGAUCGACUCGAAGGCGGGAGAGGGAAGCGGAAUUCCCGGUGUAGUGGUGAAAUGCGUAGAUAUCGGGAGGAACACCAGUGGCGAAGGCGGCUUCCUGGCCCGUUCUUGACGCUGAGGCGCGAAAGCCAGGGGAGCAAACGGGAUUAGAUACCCCGGUAGUCCUGGCUGUAAACGAUGGACACUAGGUGUUGGUGGUAUCAACCCCGCCAGUGCCGUAGCUAACGCAUUAAGUGUCCCGCCUGGGGAGUACGGCCGCAAGGCUA